GGUUCGAUUCUGGCUCAGAUUGAACGCUGGCGGGAUGCUUUACACAUGCAAGUCGAACGGCAGCACGGACUUCGGUCUGGUGGCGAGUGGCGAACGGGUGAGUAAUGUAUCGGAACGUGCCUAGUAGCGGAUAACUACGCAAAGGUAUUAAUACCGCACGCCCUUCGGGGAAAGCGGGGACCUUCGCCUCGCACUAGAGCGGCUGAUAUCGAUUGGCUAGUUGGUGGGGUAACGGCUCACCAAGGCGACGAUCCGUAGCUGGUUUGAGGACGACCAGCCACACUGGGACUGAGACACGGGCCCAGACUGCCGGGGAGGCAGCAGUAGGGGAAUUUUGGACAAUGGGGAAACCGAUCCAGCCAUCCUGCGCAAAAGACGAAGGCCUCAGUUGUGCACACUUUUGGCAGGAAGAACGCACGGGAUAAUACCCCGUGCAACUGACGGUACCUGCAGAAUAAGCACCGGCUAACUACGUGCCAGCAGCCGCGGUAAUGGUAGGUGCAAGCGUUAAUCGAAUUACUGGGCGUAAAGCGUGCGCAGUAUGUCUGGAAAGAAGAUGUGAAAUCCCAGAGCUUAACUUUGGAACUGCAUUUUUAACUACUGAGCUAGAGUGUGUCAGAGGGAGGUGGAAUUCCGCGUGUAGCAGUGAAAUGCGUAGAUAUGCGGAGGAACACCGAUGGCGAAGGCAGCUCUGGAGCAAUACUGACGCUCAUGCACGAAAGCGUGGGAGCAAACAGGAUUAGAUACCCUGGUAGGCCCCACGCCCCAAACGAUGUCAAUCAGCUGUUGGGGCCUGGCCUGGUAGCGCAGCUAACGCGUGAAGUUGAUCGCUCGGGGGAGUACGGUCGCAAGAUUAAAACUCAAAGGAAUUGACGGGGACCCGCACAAGCGGUGGAUGAUGUGGAUUAAUUGGAUGCCACUCGAAAACCUGUACUACCCUUGAUAUGUCUGGAAUCCUGAAGAGAUUUGGGAGUGCUCGCAAGAGAACCGGAACACAGGUGCUGCAUGGCUGUCGUCAGCUCGUGUCGUGAGAUGUUGGGCGAAGUCCUGCAACGAGCGCAACCUCUUGUCAUUAGUUGCUACGAAAGGGCACUCUAAUGAGACUGCGGUGACAAACCGGAGGAAGGUGGGGAUGACGUCAAGUCCUCAUGGCCCUUAUGGGUAGGGCUUCACACGUCAUACAAUGGUCGGGACAGAGGGUCGCCAACCCGCGAGUGGGGAGCCAAUCCCAGGAAACCCGAUCGAAUCCGGAUCGCAGUCUGCAACUCGACUGCGUGAAGUCGGAAUCGCUAGUAAUCGCGGAUCAGCAGUCGCGGUGAAUACGUUCCCGGCCUGUACACCGCCCGUCACACCAUGGGAGUGGGUUUUACUACAGAAGUAGUUAGCUCAACCGUACAGGCGAUUACCACGGUAGAUUCAUGACUGGGGUAAAGUCGUAACAAGCAGUAG
rnacentral:rRNA from 1 species